GAUGAACGCUGGCGGCGUGCCUAAUACAUGCAAGUCGAGCGAACGGACGAGAAGCUUGCUUCUCUGAUGUUAGCGGCGGACGGGUGAGUAACACGUGGAUAAACUACCUAUAAGACUGGGAUAACUUCGGGAAACCGGGGCUAAUACCGGAUAAUAUUUUGAACCGCAUGGUUCAAAAGUGAAAGACGGUCUUGCUGUCACUUAUAGAUGGAUCCGCGCUGCAUUAGCUAGUUGGUAAGGUAACGGCUUACCAAGGCAACGAUGCAUAGCCGACCUGAGAGGGUGAUCGGCCACACUGUAGCUGUGACACGGUCCAGACUCCUACGGGAGGCAGCAGUAGGGGAUCUUCCACAAUGGGCGAAAGCCUUGCGGAGCAACGCCGCGUGGGUGAUGUAGGUCUUCGGAUCGUAAGACUCUGUUAUUAGGGAAGAACAUAUGUGUAAGUAACUGUGCACAUCUUGACGGUACCUAGUCAGAGGGCCACGGCUAGCUACGUG
rnacentral:rRNA from 1 species